UAAUACCGGAUAGGAGCGUCCACCGCAUGGUGGGUGUUGGAAAGAUUUAUCGGUUUUGGAUGGACUCGCGGCCUAUCAGCUUGUUGGUGAGGUAAUGGCUCACCAAGGCGACGACGGGUAGCCGGCCUGAGAGGGUGACCGGCCACACUGGGACUGAGACACGGCCCAGACUCCUACGGGAGGCAGCAGUGGGGAAUAUUGCACAAUGGGCGCAAGCCUGAUGCAGCGACGCCGCGUGAGGGAUGACGGCCUUCGGGUUGUAAACCUCUUUCAGUAGGGAAGAAGCGAAAGUGACGGUACCUGCAGAAGAAGCACCGGCUAACUACGUGCCAGCAGCCGCGGUAAUACGUAGGGUGCGAGCGUUAUCCGGAAUUAUUG
rnacentral:rRNA from 1 species